rnacentral:rRNA from 1 species
AGAGUUUGAUCAUGGCUCAGGACGAACGCUGGCGGCGUGCCUAAUACAUGCAAGUCGAGCGAGCUUGCCUAGAUGAUUUUAGUGCUUGCACUAAAUGAAACUAGAUACAAGCGAGCGGCGGACGGGUGAGUAACACGUGGGUAACCUGCCCAAGAGACUGGGAUAACACCUGGAAACAGAUGCUAAUACCGGAUAACAACACUAGACGCAUGUCUAGAGUUUGAAAGAUGGUUCUGCUAUCACUCUUGGAUGGACCUGCGGUGCAUUAGCUAGUUGGUAAGGUAACGGCUUACCAAGGCAAUGAUGCAUAGCCGAGUUGAGAGACUGAUCGGCCACAUUGGGACUGAGACACGGCCCAAACUCCUACGGGAGGCAGCAGUAGGGAAUCUUCCACAAUGGACGAAAGUCUGAUGGAGCAACGCCGCGUGAGUGAAGAAGGGUUUCGGCUCGUAAAGCUCUGUUGGUAGUGAAGAAAGAUAGAGGUAGUAACUGGCCUUUAUUUGACGGCAAUUACUUAGAAAGUCACGGCUAACUACGUGCCAGCAGCCGCGGUAAUACGUAGGUGGCAAGCGUUGUCCGG